GUUUAGUGAUCAUUUCAGCACAAGCUCUGCGUUCAUGAAUUAUUACCAAAAAGUUGCAUGGCUGACUUCAUCACUAAACAAAACAUGGCUGAACCCUGUCAGAUGGAAAUGAGGUCAGCAGAAUGGGGCUGUAGUACUUCUAAUGGAGAUGAGGUCACAGAAUGGGGCUGUAGUACUUCUAAUGGAGAUGAGGUCAGCGGAAUGGGGCUGUAG
rnacentral:lncRNA from 1 species